rnacentral:rRNA from 1 species
GACGAAGGGGGCUAGCGUUGCUCGGAAUUAUUGGGCGUAAAGAGCUCGUAGGCGGUUUGUCGCGUCUGCCGUGAAAGUCCGGGGCUCAACUCCGGAUCUGCGGUGGGUACGGGCAGACUAGAGUGAUGUAGGGGAGACUGGAAUUCCUGGUGUAGCGGUGAAAUGCGCAGAUAUCAGGAGGAACACCGAUGGCGAAGGCAGGUCUCUGGGCAUUAACUGACGCUGAGGAGCGAAAGCAUGGGGAGCGAACAGG